AUGCUUACCUGGUAGAGGAGAUACCAUGCUCGUAAAGAUGGUUUUCUCAGGGUGAGGCUCAUCCAUUCCACUCCAAAUGCACUGACUCCUGCAGUUUCCCCAAAUAUGAACUUCGCCUGCCUAAUUUGUAGCAGUA
rnacentral:snRNA from 1 species